rnacentral:rRNA from 1 species
GAACGCGAAGAACCUUACCCAGGCUUGACAUGCACGGGACAGGUGUGGAAACACACCCUCUCUUCGGAGUCCGUGCACAGGUGCUGCAUGGCUGUCGUCAGCUCGUGUCGUGAGAUGUUGGGUUAAGUCCCGCAACGAGCGCAACCCUUGUGACUAGUUGCCAGCACGUAAUGGUGGGAACUCUAGUCAGACUGCCCAGAUCAACUGGGAGGAAGGUGGGGACGACGUCAGGUCAGUAUGGCCCUUACGCCUUGGGCUGCACACGUACUACAGUGCCCAGCACAAUGAGAACCGAUGCCGCGAGGUGGAGGAAAUCUGUAAAACUGGGCUCAGUUCGGAUUGGAGGCUGCAACUCGCCUCCAUGAAGUUGGAAUCGCUAGUAAUGGGGCAUCAUCUACGGCCCCGUGAAUACGUUCCCGGGUCUUGUACACACGC